CCGAUCACUGAUCAAUGAACCGAUCAGCCUUUGCUCAUAAACGUCAGAACCAAUUCGACCCAGAAGGUAAAAUCCAAUCAGACUCUUCCUGCUCGACUGGUUGAUGUUGAAUCUGAAGUUUUAUUGUGAUGGAUUAUCUGGAAUAAUCUGGAACAGCCAUGGAAAUCUCAUCCAACAUUCCAGUUUCUGCAGACACCUCCACAGUGUCUCUGCUCCAGUUUCUCGGAAAUGUUUGGCUCUAAAAACUUAAACUUAAAAAAAGAGAAAAGGUUAUUUUGGUGAAAGCGGCUCGGUUCUGCGUAAGCAGCAGCUUCACUAACGGCAGCGAGGAAAAACGUCUGGAGAAGAGAAACUUUUCCUACAACGGCAGCGAAAUGAGGCGGUGAAAACAUUUUAUUAAAAGUUUUAAUAAGAGAAGUAGAAAGGAAUGUAGACAAACAUCAAACGGUUUUAUACAGAGAUGGAAAUAUUAAAUUUUUCUGAAUAGAUUUGACUGAUUUCUGGCUAAAUGAGACCAUUUCUCUCCCAGAUUCCUUGGAUUUGAUUUAAACUCCCAAAUAAUGAACAAAAAGUCAAUAAAAAAGCUGAAAGGUUUACGUCAUUUGGCAGUCACUAUGACAACGUAUAAACAUCGUUUAAAAUCCCUGUAUUUGUUUACAAUUGUCAUUAUUACCGGGGUCCACCUACAGGUGGCGCCAUAAUCAGGACAUUUAUUCUGAUUUACUGAAUAUGAAUGAACAUCAGUUAUAAUGAGAUGUUUUCACUCUUUAGCUCAUUUUUUAUUAAAAAAAAGUUUUCUGUCCCUUAAAAACUUAAUUUUAAAUAAAGUGAAGUGAUUGAAAUGUUUCCAUUUUAGAAAAAAUAAACAUUUUAUAACAGUCUUUAUUCUAAACAUAUAUUGUUGGUUCGCUCUCUGACUUCCACUUAUUUUUCUUUUGCUGCGAUUUAAACAGAUUGUGGAUCUUUUUUAAAAACAGUUAGCUCAGAGAUGUUAGCUUAAAGCGCUAGUUUAAAGAUGCUAGCUUAAAGAUGCUAGCUUAAAGCGCUAGUUUAAAGAUGCUAGCUUAAAGAUGCUAGCUUAAAGCGUUAGUUUAAAGAUGCUAGCUUAAAGAGGCUAGCUUAAAGCGCUAGUUUGAAGGUGCUAGCUGUGCCUACAGGACUUUGUGUUCUGCAGCUUUUACAUUCCAGGAACCAUCCGGAGAACCGGGUCGCUCCCACUGAAACACCAGAGUGGUCCUGAGGGCUGCAGAGGCAGGAAAGGG